rnacentral:rRNA from 1 species
GACGAACGCUGGCGGCGUGCCUAAUACAUGCAAGUAGAACGCUGAAGAGAGGAGCUUGCUCUUCUUGGAUGAGUUGCGAACGGGUGAGUAACGCGUAGGUAACCUGCCUUGUAGCGGGGGAUAACUAUUGGAAACGAUAGCUAAUACCGCAUAACAAUGGAUGACACAUGUCAUUUAUUUGAAAGGGGCAAUUGCUCCACUACAAGAUGGACCUGCGUUGUAUUAGCUAGUAGGUGAGGUAAUGGCUCACCUAGGCGACGAUACAUAGCCGACCUGAGAGGGUGAUCGGCCACACUGGGACUGAGACACGGCCCAGACUCCUACGGGAGGCAGCAGUAGGGAAUCUUCGGCAAUGGGGGCAACCCUGACCGAGCAACGCCGCGUGAGUGAAGAAGGUUUUCGGAUCGUAAAGCUCUGUUGUAAGUCAAGAACGGGUGUGAGAGUGGAAAGUUCACACUGUGACGGUAGCUUACCAGAAAGGGACGGCUAACUACGUGCCAGCAGCCGCGGUAAUACGUAGGUCCCGAGCGUUGUCCGGAUUUAUUGGGCGUAAAGCGAGCGCAGGCGGUUUGAUAAGUCUGAAGUUAAAGGCUGUGGCUCAACCAUAGUUCGCUUUGGAAACUGUCAAACUUGAGUGCAGAAGGGGAGAGUGGAAUUCCAUGUGUAGCGGUGAAAUGCGUAGAUAUAUGGAGGAACACCGGUGGCGAAAGCGGCUCUCUGGUCUGUAACUGACGCUGAGGCUCGAAAGCGUGGGGAGCGAACAGGAUUAGAUACCCUGGUAGUCCACGCCGUAAACGAUGAGUGCUAGGUGUUGGAUCCUUUCCGGGAUUCAGUGCCGCAGCUAACGCAUUAAGCACUCCGCCUGGGGAGUACGACCGCAAGGUUGAAACUCAAAGGAAUUGACGGGGGCCCGCACAAGCGGUGGAGCAUGUGGUUUAAUUCGAAGCAACGCGAAGAACCUUACCAGGUCUUGACAUCCCGAUGCUAUUUCUAGACACUGGACUACGAUCAGCUACAUCGGUGACAGGUGGUGCAUGGUUGUCGUCAGCUCGUGUCGUGAGAUGUUGGGUUAAGUCCCGCAACGAGCGCAACCCCUAUUGUUAGUUGCCAUCAUUCAGUUAGCAUCGACUAGCCGACUGCCGGUAAUAAACCGGAGGAAGGUGGGGAUGACGUCAAAUCAUCAUGCCCCUUAUGACCUGGGCUACACACGUGCUACAAUGGUUGGUACAACGAGUUGCGAGUCGGUGACGGCGAGCUAAUCUCUUAAAGCCAAUCUCAGUUCGGAUUGUAGGCUGCAACUCGCCUACAUGAAGUCGGAAUCGCUAGUAAUCGCGGAUCAGCACGCCGCGGUGAAUACGUUCCCGGGCCUUGUACACACCGCC